rnacentral:rRNA from 1 species
UGAAUCCAUAGGUUAAUGAGGCGAACCGGGGGAACUGAAACAUCUAAGUACCCCGAGGAAAAGAAAUCAACCGAGAUUCCCCCAGUAGCGGCGAGCGAACGGGGAGGAGCCCAGAGCCUGAAUCAGUGUGUGUGUUAGUGGAAGCGUCUGGAAAGGCGUGCGAUACAGGGUGACAGCCCCGUACACAAAAAUGCACAUAUUGUGAGCUCGAUGAGUAGGGCGGGACACGUGGUAUCCUGUCUGAAUAUGGGGGGACCAUCCUCCAAGGCUAAAUACUCCUGACUGACCGAUAGUGAACCAGUACCGUGAGGGAAAGGCGAAAAGAACCCCGGCGAGGGGAGUGAAAAAGAACCUGAAACCGUGUACGUACAAGCAGUGGGAGCCUCUUAAUGGGGUGACUGCGUACCUUUUGUAUAAUGGGUCAGCGACUUAUAUUCUGUAGCAAGGUUAACCGAAUAGGGGAGCCGAAGGGAAACCGAGUCUUAACUGGGCGUUAAGUUGCAGGGUAUAGACCCGAAACCCGGUGAUCUAGCCAUGGGCAGGUUGAAGGUUGGGUAACACUAACUGGAGGACCGAACCGACUAAUGUUGAAAAAUUAGCGGAUGACUUGUGGCUGGGGGUGAAAGGCCAAUCAAACCGGGAGAUAGCUGGUUCUCCCCGAAAGCUAUUUAGGUAGCGCCUCGUGAAUUCAUCUCCGGGGGUAGAGCACUGUUUCGGCAAGGGGGUCAUCCCGACUUACCAACCCGAUGCAAACUGCGAAUACCGGAGAAUGUUAUCACGGGAGACACACGGCGGGUGCUAACGUCCGUCGUGAAGAGGGAAACAACCCAGACCGCCAGCUAAGGUCCCAAAGUCAUGGUUAAGUGGGAAACGAUGUGGGAAGGCCCAGACAGCCAGGAUGUUGGCUUAGAAGCAGCCAUCAUUUAAAGAAAGCGUAAUAGCUCACUGGUCGAGUCGGCCUGCGCGGAAGAUGUAACGGGGCUAAACCAUGCACCGAAGCUGCGGCAGCGACACUAUGUGUUGUUGGGUAGGGGAGCGUUCUGUAAGCCUGUGAAGGUGGCCUGUGAGGGUUGCUGGAGGUAUCAGAAGUGCGAAUGCUGACAUAAGUAACGAUAAAGCGGGUGAAAAGCCCGCUCGCCGGAAGACCAAGGGUUCCUGUCCAACGUUAAUCGGGGCAGGGUGAGUCGACCCCUAAGGCGAGGCCGAAAGGCGUAGUCGAUGGGAAACAGGUUAAUAUUCCUGUACUUGGUGUUACUGCGAAGGGGGGACGGAGAAGGCUAUGUUGGCCGGGCGACGGUUGUCCCGGUUUAAGCGUGUAGGCUGGUUUUCCAGGCAAAUCCGGAAAACCAAGGCUGAGGCGUGAUGA